CAUAAAUUGAAAAAGAUCCAGAAAUUCACAGCUUCCCAGUGGGAAGAAAAUCUCAGAAUGGGUUGCUCUGAAGCUAACCUGACAAACUUUUCAAGACUCCCUGUGGGAUGGGCCCAGGAAUAUAUACUCUGGUCAAUGAACAGAAGUCUUCAACAGAUCUUCAAACAUCUGGAAUGCACAAGGUCAGGGAAGGUAGUUUCUGGGUGGGGGUUGAAAGUGAUGGAAGUUUUU